rnacentral:rRNA from 1 species
AGCGAACGCUGGCGGCAGGCCUAACACAUGCAAGUCGAACGAACCUUUCGGGGUUAGUGGCGGACGGGUGAGUAACACGUGGGAACGUGCCUUUAGGUUCGGAAUAACUCAGGGAAACUUGUGCUAAUACCGAAUGUGCCCUUCGGGGGAAAGAUUUAUCGCCUUUAGAGCGGCCCGCGUCUGAUUAGCUAGUUGGUUGAGGUAAUGGCUCACCAAGGCGACGAUCAGUAGCUGGUCUGAGAGGAUGAUCAGCCACAUUGGGACUGAGACACGGCCCAAACUCCUACGGGAGGCAGGAGUUGGGGAUCUUGCGCAAUGGGCGAAAGCCUGACGCAGCCAUGCCGCGGGAAUGAUGAAGGUCUUAGGAUUGUAAAAUUCUUUCACCGGGGACGAUAAUGACGGUACCCGGAGAAGAAGCCCCGGCUAACUUCGUG